rnacentral:lncRNA from 1 species
UGAUGAGGGACCUAACACAAUUGUGAUCUGCAUGGUCAUCUUACUGAACAUUGGUCUGGCCAUCCUAUUUGUACAUUUUUUGACAUGAGGUCCCCCUCGGACAAGUCUCACAGCACAGGACUGGGUGGGAAAACCUGAGAGACUGGAAAGAACGUGGAAGCGAUGGUCGAGGGAAAAAACAGAUGGCCAGUCUGCUCCAAAGGUCUUACGAAGAUGCAGAUAUGUUUCACUCUUCACACAAAAAUACCUUCAUCACAGAUUUUGCAAGCUGUGUACUACAAUCCAUGUACUGCUGUCUGGAGUUUUGUCGGUUGUUCUGCUGGAAUACGUGCAAUAAUAAACAGUUAUCUGCUCACUGUAUCCAUGUUUAUCUUUGCGAGUGCCUUGCACUGGAUGACAGGCACGUGCUAAUUCAGACCUUGUCUCAUAAAUAACCUGUUGGCUGUGUUUUCUCUAGAGGAUGGCUCAGCUCGGAGGGGAAGGCUGAUCCGUCAGAGCCCCAGACGUGGAGGAGGAGGUGAGCCAGGCUCCAACCUGGGAUGCCUCACACUGUCAGUGCCUGCAGGAUCUGGGCUCUCUGGGAACUCAGGGCUGCCCUGGCCUCUGCACAAAGCACACAGUGCUGGUGGUGCUGAGUGCCCCCAGGAUUACCAGCAAGGGAAGAAAACAGAACAUCACCAACCAGAAACUGGUUGGCAGAGUCUGUGUGCCAGCUGUGGGGUGCAGAUUGCAGACAGUGCUGUUGUGCUGCUGUUAAAGCCUCAUCCCAAACACAGCGAUGCUCUGGGAGCCAUGUGUCAGCACCAAGCCACCUGGGCUGUGUUCAUGCAACAAUCAGAGCUCCAUCGGUAUGCCUUCAACAGGUCUGUGCUGCCUGCCAUCCCCUGGGGCUGCUGCCACAUUUCUUCUAGACCAUGCACUGCUGCCUGCUCCCCCAGCACCAUGCCUCUGUGCUUGGAGAGGGGUAAUUCUUGCUAACCUGCCGCCCUCAGUUCCUCUGCACCGACUUAAAGGCUUGUGGAUGUGGUCAGGACACAAAUGGGGGAAAGGAGCAGUGUUGCACUGUGGCUGACUGCACAGAGAGGAGGCAAUCGCAGGAGUGCCCCAGGACCCUGUGCAGCAUCAGCCCCAUAAGCCCACAAAUGGAUGGAUGCCAACGCCUGUCAGCAAUCUGCCC